CAAACAGCGGUUCACGUACGAUCUCUGAAGUUAACCAACGUCGUACCUGGUUAGUACCUAGAUGGGUGACCGCAUGGGAAUAUCG